rnacentral:rRNA from 1 species
CAGUCGCCGCGGUAAUACGUAGGUCCCGAGCGUUGUCCGGAUUUAUUGGGCGUAAAGGGAGCGCAGGCGGUCAGGAAGGUCUGGAGUAAAAGGCUAUGGCUCAACCAUAGUGUGCUCUGGAAACUGUCUGACUUGAGUGCAGAAGGGGAGAGUGGAAUUCCAUGUGUAGCGGUGAAAUGCGUAGAUAUAUGGGGGAACACCAGUGGCGAAAGCGGCUCUCUGGUCUGUCACUGACGCUGAGGCUCGAAAGCGUGGGUAGCGAACAGGAUUAGAUACCCCCGUAGUCCCUGUCUCUUAUACA